GACGAACGCUGGCGGCGUGCUUAACACAUGCAAGUCGAACGGAAAGGCCUGCUUUCCCUUGUGGAUUGCGGGUACUCGAGUGGCGAACGGGUGAGUAACACGUGAGUGAUCUGCCCCCAACUUGGGUAUAAGCCUGGGAAACUGGGUCUAAUUCCCGAUAGGACUGCAGGGUGGUGCCUGUGGUGGAAAACGAUUUUCUAGUGGUUGGGGAUGAGCUCGCGGCCUAUCAGCUUGUUGGUGGGGUAAUGGCCUACCAAGGCGGCGACGGGUAGCCGGCCUGAGAGGGUGGACGGCCACAUUGGGACUGAGAUGCGGCCCAGACUCCUACGGGAGGCAGCAGUGGGUAAGAUUGCACAAUGGGCGGAAGCCUGAUGCAGCGACGCCGCGUGGGGGAUGACGGCCUUCGGGUUGUAAACUCCUUUCGACCGCGAGGAAGCCACCUGGUUGGAAGGGUGGUGACGGUAGUGGUAGAAGAAGCACCGGCUAACUACGUG
rnacentral:rRNA from 1 species